AUUUAAAGAAUACAAUCUAUCUAGGAUAGGUACAAUUCUCCUCCCCCUCUUGACUUCGGUCAACUCAACUCAACUAAACGAAAUCCCCCUUGCAUGGUUCCGACCCGUGUAAGGUUGUGUAUUUCGUGCAGUCGUUGCCCUUACUAGUGUAAGCGUAACGGCAUCUAGGUUUGCACGUCUUGGAGGAAACGGUGUGUACGUUUCUAGUGUUUACGCCGUAUCGGUUCCGGCCCGAUAGGUAUUGCAUUAGACGUCCUGGGUGGUUCUGCCUGCCCUUGUGUGAUUCGGCUGUUCCGUCAGUUUGGUCACCUCACACGUCCUUAAGACAUGGCUAACCAAUAUGUCCUGCGUG
rfam:Coronavirus AcCoV-JC34, complete genome.